rnacentral:rRNA from 1 species
AUUGAACGCUGGCGGAAUGCUUUACACAUGCAAGUCGAACGGCAGCACGGACUUCGGUCUGGUGGCGAGUGGCGAACGGGUGAGUAAUGUAUCGGAACGUGCCCAGUCGUGGGGGAUAACGUAGUGAAAAUUACGCUAAUACCGCAUACGAUCUAUGGAUGAAAGCGGGGGAUCGCAAGACCUCGCGCGAUUGGAGCGGCCGAUAUCAGAUUAGGUAGUUGGUGGGGUAAAGGCCCACCAAGCCAACGAUCUGUAGCUGGUCUGAGAGGACGACCAGCCACACUGGAACUGAGACACGGUCCAGACUCCUACGGGAGGCAGCAGUGGGGAAUUUUGGACAAUGGGCGAAAGCCUGAUCCAGCCAUUCCGCGUGCAGGAUGAAGGCCCUCGGGUUGUAAACUGCUUUUGUACGGAACGAAAAGGUUUCUACUAAUACUAGGAGCUCAUGACGGUACUGUAAGAAUAAGCACCGGCUAACUACGUGCCAGCCGCCGCGGUA